rnacentral:lncRNA from 1 species
GUAAGAAGCCAGCUGGCAUUUGUCCAUAUGAUGGGAACGACAGGCAAGAAAUCCUCAGGGACGGGGGAAGAUUUCUCCAAAGAAUCUAGAAAUCCUUCUGCAAAAAAGAGUCAGUGCAAAUAUCUGCUGAUCAAAUUGGAACAUCCCCAGCUCAAAUUUUCACUCUUCCUGCAGCUCUAAAGUAGAUCCUAAAGGGGGUGUGUGUGUGUGUUUGUGCACGCGCGUGUGCGCGCGUGUUUGGGGUGGGGUGUUAAGUGGGAACAGAUGAGAGGGAAGUAGAGCAGAAGAGGAGCAGUACCAUCUCCAGCUCAAGUGCAGUCUGCUUCCUGCACAGGCCUGGGCUGGGAGGAGGAGGGGCUGGUUGUCUGAAUGAAGCUGUAAACUUCGACUUCUAGAUGGAACUGACAUUCUAAUGACUAGCAGGAGACUGUGUGUUACUUAAGAAUGGCCAGAAAAGCCAAGAAACUGCCCAGCUUUUUAUUGGGGCAGAGAAAAACCCAGUGCAUGGAAUUCAUUGCAAGGAAUAUCAGAAGACCAAACAAUGUGAUCCUUACACCUAGUGAAUACUCUGGUUCGAUGUGCUGGUUACAUUUAGAAUUCCAGGAGAGAAAUAGUACUCCCUGGGAGAAGACGCUCUUAACUCAGAGAUGCGGAGACAAUCACAAAUGUGAGCAUUCCUGAAAUAACUGCUAUCCUCGUGGAGUCCUGUUCCUGGUCCUGUCUACUCAAGAGAUUGUGGGUGUCGCCUGCCUUGAGUUGGCCACCCUCAUGGGCUUCUUUGUUACUGGCAAUCAAAGUCCUGAUAACCUUGAUGUGAUACCCCUGCAUUCAUCCCAGGCACUAUAAGACAUCUCUCUCCCCAACGGCUGCACUGAAGGUAGGUGCUCUCUACCUGGUUAGAAGGACGUCUGCCAGCAUCCAUUCUGCAUUCUCUCAGCUUAGCAAUACCAGCGGAGGAGGAAGCUGCUUGUUGACAACAUCUGAAGUUUAGCCUUCACCACCUUUUGACCAGGAGAUCUAGGAACUACAAAGACAUCCAAAAUGGGUGGAGAAGGAUGACAGGAUAACAGCAAAACACACUCCCGUUUAGAAAGGGAAGCAUGGGAGACACAGGCAUCACUGAUUUCUGAAUUCCAACUCUGGGUCAAGCAGACCAUGUGAGGCCCCCUACUCUUCAGAGCUCUUGGGGGUCAGGAAUGAUUCUUGAUUAGGUUUGGAUGCUGCCCUCUGAGGGAGCUGCCUUGCCCACUGUUCCUUGACUCUGCCCUCCAGGAGUCCUUUCCUUUUCCAUCAUCCUCCUUGCGUGCAUCUGAAGUGAGGUGAUCCCACUUGGAGGCUCCGGGGUCCCCAGCACACUUUCUGCUUGAGGCACACUCUAAAGGACACUGGAGAAAGGGGACAGAACCAGCAGCAGGUGCCCACACGUCAGGAAACACUCAUCCGCUGAAACAGCUGAGCUUGCCUGGAGAUUUGCAAGCAAUAUAUCCAGGAACAACUCCUGGGCUUUUCUCCUGCUGAGCUCCCAGGAUCACUCCCUUAGACUCAAAUUGUCACCCCCAACUCGCUGUGGUGGCUGCAUGGUCCAGAUGGCGCUGCACCAACCACUCCUCUGGGGCUGGGACUCUAGGAAGCAAGUGACACACCUUCUUAAGACUAACCCGCAGGUCGGCUUUCUUAUUUUUUUUUAAGCAAUAAUCUCUAUGGAGACACCAACAGAGGGUAACAGUAAUCAUCAACAGAGAGAAGGCUUCGGAACACACAACACUUUCAGAAUAUGACAGUUUAUAAUGUCUUGGCCCAUAUCUACUGUGAAGCAGCAACAUCAGUCUUCCAGCCUCUGACCAUCACUCUCCUUUGUGAAGGCCCAGCAAGGAGCCCUUUCUAGUCCAUGUUGAUCAGCCACCUGCCUUGAGGAACUCGAUUUAGGCUGUUUUAUAACCAUUGAUUUGUGUUCAUUAACUUAAACCUCGUCUCUUUUUAAUGGGUUCUUCUAUUAGUCUUAAUAGUUUUUAAUUUGUAAUUAAAGUUUCCUAGAGUCACAAAUUAAAUAUCAUAUCACAGGCAAAUAUAGAUCAUUUUGUCUUCUUGACUUAAAAAGUUAUACCUUGUAUUGCUGUUUCUGGACUUAUUUCAUUGCCCCGAACUUUUAGAGCUACAUUAGACAAUAGGAAAUGGCAGGUAUUUCGGAAUUUAUUGGAAAUGCUUUCAACUUUUCUUUUCUUUCUUUCUUUUUGAGAUGGAGUUUCACUCUUGUUGCCCAGGCUGGAGUGCAAUGGUGUGACCUUGGCUCACUGCAACCUCUGCCUC